rnacentral:lncRNA from 1 species
AGCAAACCACUUUAAAAACUUAUUACUAAACAUGAAAACAUUCAGUCGAAGCACCCAAAUAGUUAAUUUCUAACUAUAUGUUUUCGAUGGCAUUUACACUAAAAUAUAAAAUUUGGGAUAUAUUUUGAGACAUAAAAGUGAGAGUGUACAACCAUUUUAAAUCUUCAAAGACAAAGCGAGAAGAAAAUUUUAGCACUGAUUUUUUGCGAUGCGACGAACUUGGACGCGUCGAAUAGAUCUAUAGAUUAUGGCUUCAGACUUGAACUCGAGCUUAUAGACGUGAACUUUAUAAUUUCCAAAAAAGUGCAAAGAAAAAUUCUCUGUUAUGGCAACGUGUAACAGAGGCGACACAACUAAGAAUUUGGAGUAUUUUGAAGAAUAAAAUUGUUUGAAGAUUGCUCGAAAAGUUGUCCUAAAUUAAUACGGAACCUCAGUAUUUAUAGAAGAAUUACUAGGGCCUUUCUAGGUUUUGUGGGCGGGAUUAUUGAAGGGUUAGGGUUUCAAACUGCUAAAGACCCGUUUGAAAUAAUGUGUAGCAGGAAGAAAAGGACGAUAUGGGCGGUUGCCAAAGUUGUGAAAUCGUGGAGAAAACAAAAGGAGAACCCUUUUUUACCUUUGUCAAUUUCAUUGUGAAUGGCAAACGAAUUUGAAUUUUUCAAUCAAAGUGCUUGAGUUUGCAGAUAAUUCCUUAAAAUGGCCAUACAAAUUUCUGAUUAUAAGAUAUGAGAGUCAAAUUUUGCAAAGAAGAAAGAAAAAGCCAAAACCCUCUGCUAUGGCAGAGCAAAAAAGAAGCGUUCUUUUCUUUGAAAGAGGGAAA